rnacentral:rRNA from 1 species
AACGAACGCUGGCGGCAUGCCUAACACAUGCAAGUCGAACGGGAUCCUAGCUUGCUAGGUGAGAGUGGCGGACGGGUGAGUAACACGUGGGAAUCUGCCUUUUGGUUCGGGAUAACCGCGGGAAACUGCGGCUAAUACCGAAUGCCCUCGAGAGAGGAAAGAUUUAUCGCCAGAAGAGGAGCCCGCGUCCGAUUAGGUAGUUGGUGGGGUAAAGGCCUACCAAGCCGACGAUCGGUAGCUGGUCUGAGAGGAUGAUCAGCCACACUGGGACUGUGAUACGGCCCAGACUCCUACGGGAGGCAGCAGUGGGGAAUAUUGGACAAUGGGCGAAAGCCUGAUCCAGCAAUGCCGCGUGAGUGAUGAAGGCCUUAGGGUUGUAAAGCUCUUUUACCCGAGAUGAUAAUGACAGUAUCGGGAGAAUAAGCUCCGGCUAACUCCGUGCCAGCAGCCGCGGUAAU